UCGAGAAUCUUCGGCAAUGGGGGAAACCCUGACCGAGCGACGCCGCGUGCGGGAUGAAGGCCCUCGGGUUGUAAACCGCUGUCGUAAGGGAACAAAUCUAGAGGGGUACUCCCCUUUAGUUGAGUGAUCUUAGGAGGAAGGACGGGCUAAGUUCGUGCCAGCAGCCGCGGUAAGACGAACCGUCCGAACGUUAUUCGGUAUCACUGGGCUUAAAGAGUUCGUAGGCGGCCCGACAGGUGAGGUGUGAAAU
rnacentral:rRNA from 1 species